rnacentral:lncRNA from 1 species
UCAGUUUGUGUUAUCAGUGAUAUUUCAUAAAUUCCAAGUGUUUUAAAGGCAGUAAAGGAGGAGUUCUGUUCAAAUGAACUGCACACACACACACACACACACACACACACACACACACACACACACACACACACACACACACACAAUUACUAAGUUACAAAUUAUGACAGUUAUUGUUUACUACCAAUUUCAAAUGUGCAAAGUGUAAACUCAAUCUUCUGCACAUAGAAAGAGCUUGUUCGACUGCAAAACUACACAUCAGACACUUUAGUUUGAGUGUAGAAUGUAUGAUCAACCUUUAGAACUGAUCUUUCACUGUCCGUGUACCCUACAGAUGACAUCACUUCCUCUUGUGCCUGUACUUCAUCAUAGCAGAAGCACUCACUUUAUUACAAAGAGCUGACACGAUGAACACUUUCCUUAUCAGAUCUGCAUGUCUGUUGUGGCUAACAGUGGCAAACCAUGCAAAAACUGUUCUCCAGAGACCUGAUGACCUCAUAAAGAACCAAAAUGAAUCGGCUGUUAUCGUCUGUUCUCACAGUAUACAGAACUACAACCGAAUGCUGUGGUACAAACAGAGUCAGGACAUGCCUGGACUCAAGUUGAUGGGAUACCUUUUUAGUGGUGAAAAUAUAGAGCCUGAAUUUACAGACAAGAUCAAAUUGAAGGGAGAUGCAUCAAAAAAUGGCACUCUGACUAUCAACAACCUCACACCACAAGACAGCGCAGUGUAUUUCUGUGCAGCAUGUUACACAGUGAUAUAGAUAAUGAAACCUUAAUACAAAAAGCUCUCUAGUCUGUGCCUCUGCAUCAGCUCUGCCUCACCUGCGAAGGGCUCAGGGUUUGAUUUGCUGCCAACAUUGAGGUGAAUUAUCUCGUUAAAUAACAUGUACACAAAUGUCUAAGAGUGUUUGAGGAAUCCCAUAUGAGAACAGAACAAUCCCUCCACAUUUUGACCUCAUAGUAAGCUAAAUUUAUACACAAGUUAUAUACUUAGCAUCCUAGAACAGCAGAGGGAGUUCUUUGGUAAUGCUAAAUCUGGACAGCAUUGAAAAAUAUACAUAAUUUAGCGAUUUUAAAAUGAAUGCACUUUUAAAGAAUUAAUAUACAUAAUACAUAUUGGCUUGGAUGAUAAAAAGAGAAAACCAUUACUCGUUAUUAUGAUUUUCUCUUUUUUGUGUUACUCACUAAUUUGUUGUCAGUGCCCCCAGAGAUGACAUCAUUUCCUACUAGAACUGCCUUCUUGCAUUUACUUCACAGCACUGUCACCAAAAGCAAAGAUGACUAGCAUUAUUACAAGUGUUUGUGUUUCUCUAGCAUGCCUCACAGGUAACCAUAUGUCAUAGACUUUUGUUUAUGUUUAUGAAUGUUUAUUAUAUGUAUUUGUUUUACACUGAUUGUCAUUGUAUAUGUGUAUUUUCUCUCAUUACAGUUGCAUUUGGUAAAACUGCUUUCCAGUCACCUGGUGACCUCAUUAAGAACCAGGAUGAAUCUGCUGUGAUCAUAUGCAUACACAAUAUACCAAACUAUGACCGUAUUCUUUGGUACAAAAAAGACAUCAUGGGCUUCAAGUUCAUGGGGUUUCUUAAUCUCAUAUAUGACAACCCUGAGUUGGAAUUUAUAAACAAGAUCAAACUUGAUGGAGUAAUGUGUGAGUAAUGAUUAAUUAAAGUAAUGUGUUUGUUACAUUAAUAAGAUAUAAAGAGCGCUGGUCACUUUAAGAGUUUGGAAUAAGCAAUGACGUUGACGCUAAUGUUUUCACGCAGUUCAGUGAUGUAAGUGCUCAGUUUAUGCAGUUCAGUAAAGCUGACGAGAACAAUAAAAAGUAAAAUAAGUUCAAGUACGAGUCCUCUUUACAGACAUUACACUCUGGUUGUAAAUUAUGGUAAAUUUCCUGCUGAAUUAUUUACUUAGGUCAAGGUCUACAUCAGCAUAAAUAUGUAUGUUUGAAACAUUUAUUCACUAGAAUAUCUGAGAUCAUUAUGAGUUUACUUGUUUUGUAUAUAAAGUGAUUCAAACAUUGAUUAACAAACGUGGAGACAAACUUUCUUCACAGCAUGGUGUGGCAGGAAAUUGCAGCAAUUUGUAGGAAGUACCAAGGGUCCAUAAUAGAAAUUGUUAAGUAGGGGAGGUCAGGUGUCAAUACUGAUAGAAUUAUAUCAAACCGAACCUUUUUUUUUUUUCACAAAGUAUUACUCUAGUCUAAAUCAACAUGUUCAGAGUUCUCCUAGUCUUGCUGCUUUGGCUUACAGGUAACUAUUUUAUAUUAAACGAUGAGAAUGAUUUAAUAACAUAGUUACUUAUUAAGUAUAAUGCACUUUUUUGUUUCUUUUUACAGGUUCUGUUGUUAACAGCAGUGUUAAUCAAAGCCCCUCAAAUCUAAUUAAAUCUGAGAGAGACAAUGCAGAACUUGUAUGCGAAUACAACAUACCAUCUUACACUAGGAUUUUCUGGUACAAACAAACACUUGGCCAUGACUUCAUAUUCCUUGGAUAUAUCUGGAAUAAGAAUUCUUACCCAGAGGAUAAUCUCAAUAAAAUAAAAAAUAAAAUAAAAACUCUUCCAC